GCUCCUUGCCAGCUUGAUGGAUCAGUUGCUCAACUUGCUCCUGGGUUCCUUGAGGGACAACGUUCAGGGACAGGUGAACAUUUCUCUCUUGGAAGGGAGCAUCCUAAAGCUGGUACCCCACCACACCAAGUGUACUAUAGUCUUCAAAGACCCAGGCUGCGAGAGGGAUGCCCAGCUUUGAGCACAGCAGAAGCAGCCACACCCAGUUUGGAAAAGGGAGCUUCCAGCAAGUUUGAGCUAGAUUGUGUCCUGGGCUCUGUACCUGUCUUCCACCCCACCUUGGACCACCUUGACAUCUCCAUGACGCACGCUCUUGCCUCUUGACCAGUGGGAAUGUGUUGCUUUUUCUUAGAGGAGAGGAGAGGUGGAUGUGUUGGGUCCCCUUUCUAUGGGAGGGGAGGAGGAGACCCCAAAAGCGGGGAAGAAAUGGCUCUGAGCUGGUCUGUGACGGAUGUUGGGGAAGUUUGGUGGCUGUUAAACAUGGUACUGGACCUUUUUACAACCUCGUCUAAAGAAAAUAAAAAGAGGGAUAGAAACA